rnacentral:rRNA from 1 species
UAGGGAAUAUUGGACAAUGGGCGCAAGCCUGAUCCAGCCAUGCCGCGUGAGUGAAGAAGGCCCUCGGGUUGUAAAGCUCUUUUGUCCGGAAAGAAAAGCUUUGGGUUAAUACCCCGAAGUCCUGACGGUACCGGAAGAAUAAGCACCGGCUAACUUCGUGCCAGCAGCCGCGGUAAUACGAAGGGUGCAAGCGUUACUCGGAAUUACUGGGCGUAAAGCGUGCGUAGGUGGUUCGUUAAGUCUGAUGUGAAAGCCCUGGGCUCAACCUGGGAAUGGCAUUGGAUACUGGCGGGGUAGAGUGCGGUAGGGGCAGUAGAAUUCCCGGUGUAGCAGUGAAAUGCGUAGAGAUCGGGAGGAACAUCUGUGGCGAAGGCGACUGCCUGGACCAGCACUGACACUGAGGCACGAAAGCGUGGGGAGCAAACAGG